UACGUAGGGUGCAAGCGUUGUCCGGAAUUAUUGGGCGUAAAGAGCUUGUAGGCGGUUUGUCGCGUCUGCUGUGAAAUUUCGGGGCUCAACCCCGAACUUGCAGUGGGUACGGGCAGACUAGAGUGUGGUAGGGGAGGCUGGAAUUCCUGGUGUAGCGGUGAAAUGCGCAGAUAUCAGGAGGAACACCGAUGGCGAAGGCAGGUCUCUGGGCCACUACUGACGCUGAGAAGCGAAAGCAUGGGGAGCGAACAGG
rnacentral:rRNA from 1 species